rnacentral:misc_RNA from 1 species
AAUAAAUUUUCAGGUUUUUCGUCCUAUACCCAGUUGGUCUCUUCACGAUUCUUAGCAAAUUUUCAAGUUUUCCUAAGGUUACUUCCAGCGUUUAGCAAUGGCUGCCAGUGCGAGCUCAUAGACUAUGAUUUCUACGACGAUGAUGAUCUCUGUACCUUUGGUGAUGAUUCCGACGCUAGUUCUGAAAACGACUACAUCCCCGAAACCGAUGAUGAACAGCCG